AUCAGCGCAGCCCAGGUGGCAGAGCCCAGCCUGGGGUCUGGGGAAAGCUGCUGACCCCGCCGCUUUUUGCCAGGAGAAGGAAGAAAUGAGCUUUUAAGCCAGCACUAGGCAGCGUGCGCUCGAGCUCAGUGCCUGGCAGGGCAGGGGAUCUUCCAUUACGUGCAGCUUUAACAGGAGAGUUAGAUCCAAGGAGAGGUCAGGUGAGACGCAGCCUCUGUCCAGAAGGUUUCACGAUGACAGCAUGUGUGCAAGAGAUCCUAAAGCUUCUGUUGAAGAAUUAACCUAUUUGGGCUUUUAGACUUAGCAGGCCUUGCAAAGGAAGGACCUUCUCUGACCUUCUGCAUGCACAGAGCAGAUACUCCAGCCUGGCAUACCUGAAAGCUAUUCCCAGGCAGGCAGCCACUCUUCCCUGCGAUAUUCUUGCUGCCUUCCAAUACCCAUGAGCAUGCGAAGCGGUUCGGGACUGACCUGUCCAAGGCAGCUGCCGUGCACUGGGUGCUUGCAGAUGUGGGUCCGGGCUUGGUUCUCAGAGUGCCCCCUCCCAGCUCGCUGCACGCCCCAGGCGCUGGGAGCUGCCAGGUGAGAGCAUGUCUCUGUGACUCAUGGAGACAUUCAUGCCCUCAGUGCUGGAAACGUAACAAGAAACCACAGAGCAGACAACACAGGGAUGUGCAUCCAAUCGCUCAGGAAGUGUUUGACAGUUCUGUUUUUUGCUAUGUCUCCAGCCAUCCUAGCGACGUGCCUGCAGAUGACUAACGGCUAUGAGCCAUAGCACUCCCCUGUCUCGGAUCCUCUCUGCGAAGCCACUGUUGCUGACCCGGCUCACUCCGACCCACGCACACAGCUGGGGCCCCAUGCCGCAACCCGCCCGCGUGCCAGGAGCCAUGUGAUGGACAUGCUGACACUGGACUGUAAGCGGGCACCGGGGCUCUUAGGAGCUGCAGGGAUCUUGCACCAGGUGGCCGCAAAGGCUCUGUCUCCUCCCUGCAAGGUCCAGGACAUGGAGCAGAGCAAGCGCAUCUCCUGUCUCCCUGUGCCAGCGUGGGGCAUCUUGAGCCAGCUCUUUGCAGCCUCCACGGCUGCAACUCCAGCGAUGCGGCUACGCUGGCUCCCCUCCGCGUGCCUGAGAGCUUACGCGCUGUUGAGCUCUGCGUCUCUUCUCCUCUGGCUAGAUUUACGCUGUGGGAUCCUCUGCCAUUUUUUGAACGAGGCCUCUCCGAGAGCAAAUGUUCUCUGUUGUGCAACUCUUCUGGCAUUCUUCAGUCUGGGGCGAUUCACGGAUUUAAAAAUUGAUGUUUGCGAGCUGCUGCUAUCAUUGUUUCCUACAAGGUAAUCUUCUCCAGGCAAUGCAUGCUGCAUAUUCCACCCCAGGGUAAGCAGAGAGGGCCAUAUACCCUCAGACUUGUUUUGAGAAAGUGAGACUGAAGCUAAUUCCUCGGACCGAUGUGCUGAAAGGCAGUAAAGCAGAAGCCUUACAGGGCGAGGUCUAGGUGAAAGACGAAGCAGAGGCUUGACUGUCCUUGUGGAGACAUUGAUUAAGAUGCUCCAGGCUUGUUUGCACAAGGAAUUUAACCACAAUAACUAUUGCGCUAUGCUAUAUUCUGGAAUGGGUCAAUUUACUCUCAAAUCACGCAAAUGAAGCAAAGGACAGUUUCACAGAAUCACAGAAUGGCCAAGGUUGGAAGGGACCUCUGGAGAUCAUCUAGUGCAACCCCCCUGCUCAAGCAGGGUCAUAUUGAGCACAUUGCACAGGAUCGCGUCCAGGCAGGCUUUGAAUAUCUCCAGAGAAGCAGACUCAGUGUCUUACUCUGGAACUGAGAAGCCAUACAAGCCUUUCUCACAAGAAGCUGUAGAGGAGGAGGCAUUGUAGGACAGCUGUUCCCAUCACUUUCUCUACGUAGCAGAGCCUUUGUAUCCUUUCCUGAAGAAACAGAUAAAGUCUCUCAUGUUAUAUGUCAUAGUGAAGGGCCUAUGCAUCAGCAAUCCCAGGAGCAGUGGCUUUGUUCUGGAAAUAUUGAUAUCCUCAGAGGCUGGAGCCUCCCUAACAGUCCUCCCAAUGCCAAGCAAUUGAAGCAAACUUUCUCUUCAAGCAGUUUGCAAAUGUGAAAAAAAAUCAAAAGGAACCAUAGAGAGUUUUGGGGUGUGGCCAGCGUAUGACCCCUUUUGACAUUUAGGGUGGAUAAGCCAAUAUACCCUCUUUCUGGCUUUUCUUUUUUACCAAAUCAAAAAAGAUGGCAUGCAACUGCUGUCACUGCUUUGCAUAAAUCAAAAGAUCCAGCUUUGUGUAUCUUACUUGGUUAUUUCCUAUAAAAAGCACAUCUGUGGCCAUACCU
rnacentral:lncRNA from 1 species